GACAGAGGGUGCAAACGUUGUUCGGAAUUACUGGGCGUAAAGCGCGUGUAGGCGGUUCGGCAAGUCGGAUGUGAAAGCCCUGGGCUCAACCGAGGAAGUGCAUUCGAAACUGCCGAACUUGAGUUCUGGAGAGGAAGGCGGAAUUCUCGGUGUAGAGGUGAAAUUCGUAGAUAUCGGGAGGAACAUCGGUGGCGAAGGCGGCCUUCUGGACAGCAACUGACGCUGAGUCGCGAAAGCGUGGGGAGCAAACAGG
rnacentral:misc_RNA from 1 species